rnacentral:rRNA from 1 species
UAGGGAAUCUUCCACAAUGGACGCAAGUCUGAUGGAGCAACGCCGCGUGAGUGAGGAAGGUCUUCGGAUCGUAAAACUCUGUUGUUAGAGAAGAACACGAGUGAGAGUAACUGUUCAUUCGAUGACGGUAUCUAACCAGCAAGUCACGGCUAACUACGUGUCAG